GAUAGCCAGGGUGGAUUCCCUUGAUCUCCCUGACUACGUGGGUGCCCCCUUCCUCCCUCACUGUACCAUGUGACUCCUGAAGCUGCAGCUGGGUCAAAGAGAAUGACCUGCACCAAAUAGAGGAAAACCAGCCAUUGGUUGAGGGUAUGUAAGUUAACAUGUUCUCCUGCUAAAUCCACCAAACAAGCUCUCAAGGAAAAUAUUUUAAAUGCAUCUAAAAAUAUAAAACAAAAUAAAAUAGUUU
rnacentral:snRNA from 1 species